UGGUUCCGGCGGUGGCUCCGGUGGGCUAUGGAAAUGAUUCAACUUCCAGAGGCUUCCUCAUAAAUUUUUGGAAUUUUUGAGACACAGAUAAACUUCGGGUGAUCGAGAUCAGCUAUUUUUCUGCAUCCAGCAGCCACAAUAGUCAUCGGUGUACUGCCACAGGAGGAGUUAUUUUACAGAGCAACCUGUUUUCUUCCUAACAGGUUUAACGUCGAUUAUUUAAUUGUUUUACUAU